AGUGGUACGUCUCCCACUGACCGUAAUCCAGUAUGUUGUGUAUGCAUCGCAGCAUAUAGUAGGUAACCAGGUUACGUGUCCUCCUUAAUUGAGUAGUAAGGCCACUGUG
ncrna:unclassified sequences saliva-tongue-1 RNA